rnacentral:rRNA from 1 species
AUUGAACGCUGGCGGCAUGCUUUACACAUGCAAGUCGAACGGCAGCGCGGGCUUCGGCCUGGCGGCGAGUGGCGAACGGGUGAGUAAUACAUCGGAACGUGCCCAGUAGUGGGGGAUAGCUCGGCGAAAGCCGGAUUAAUACCGCAUACGACCUGAGGGUGAAAGCGGGGGAUCUUCGGACCUCGCGCUAUUGGAGCGGCCGAUGGCAGAUUAGCUAGUUGGUGGGGUAAAGGCCUACCAAGGCAACGAUCUGUAGCUGGUCUGAGAGGACGACCAGCCACACUGGGACUGAGACACGGCCCAGACUCCUACGGGAGGCAGCAGUGGGGAAUUUUGGACAAUGGGCGAAAGCCUGAUCCAGCAAUGCCGCGUGUGUGAUGAAGGCCUUCGGGUUGUAAAGCACUUUUGGCGGGAACGAAAAGGACUGUGCCAAUACCACGGUUCGAUGACGGUACCCGCAGAAUAAGCACCGGCUAACUACGUG